rnacentral:rRNA from 1 species
UACGGAGGGAGCUAGCGUUGUUCGGAAAUACUGGGCGUAAAGCGAACGUAGGCGGUCUAGUAAGUCAGGGGUGAAAUCCCGGAGCUCAACUCCGGAACUGCCCUUGAAACUACUAAACUAGAAUCCUGGAGAGGUGAGUGGAAUUCCGAGUGUAGAGGUGAAAUUCGUAGAUAUUCGGAAGAACACCAGUGGCGAAGGCGACUCACUGGACAGGUAUUGACGCUGAGGUUCGAAAGCGUGGGGAGCAAACAGG